AGUGAACGCUGGCGGUAGGCCUAACAUAUGCAAGUCGAACGGCAGCACAGUGAGAGCUUGCUCUUACGGGUGGCGAGUGGCGGACGGGUGAGGAAUACAUCGGAAUCUACUUUUUCGUGGGGGAUAACGUAGGGAAACUUACGCUAAUACCGCAUACGACCUACGGGUGAAAGCAGGGGAUCUUCGGACCUUGCGCGAUUGAAUGAGCCGAUGUCGGAUUAGCUAGUUGGCGGGGUAAAGGCCCACCAAGGCGACGAUCCGUAGCUGGUCUGAGAGGAUGAUCAGCCACACUGGAACUGAGACACGGUCCAGACUCCUACGGGAGGCAGCAGUGGGGAAUAUUGGACAAUGGGCGCAAGCCUGAUCCAGCCAUACCGCGUGGGUGAAGAAGGCCUUCGGGUUGUAAAGCCCUUUUGUUGGGAAAGAAAAGCAGCAGGUUAAUACCCCGCUGUUCUGACGGUACCCAAAGAAUAAGCACCGGCUAACUUCGUG
rnacentral:rRNA from 1 species